rnacentral:lncRNA from 1 species
UGUCCUCAGAAUUUGUGUGCCAGAUCUCCUUUAGCUUUACAAUGCUUAAAGUUCAUUUGUUGUUGUGUGAGUCAAUCUAGAAAAUAUGAUCAAAAAUAAUUUCAUGGUACUUAUUAAAAUAAAGUUGUACUUGAAAAUAUAUUGUUUUUACUUCUAUGAUUUCUCUCAAACGUCAAUACUUUUUCUUUAUCCAUAAAAGAGAAUUGUACAAUGGUCAUUAGUGCCACCGUUAA